UUUUUAUCGUCUGUCGCCGACUAGGUCACGUGACUGGCGGCAGAGAAGGAAUGUAUUACACUCUCUUUUAGUCAGCUUGAGGGCGACGCCUUGAAAAUGAUCUGAUCUUGGCCACAUAGCGUAUUUGAUGGUAUGACUUUGUGCUUAUGAGGUGAAAGAAUUCAUAACAAGGAGAAUUCACCGAAAAAAGAAAUGAAAGGAACAAGCGAUUUCUCGGCGGCGGGGAGAAAACUAUGUAAAACCGAAGAGAGCAUCAGUUUCUAUUGAGAAAUCUCCGUGUGAGCUUCGCCUUUUAGAUGCGCUUUGCAUUACGCUGUGUUUAACGUUCUUGAUAGCUUGAAGUGUAGCUACUGAUUGUGCU